rnacentral:rRNA from 1 species
GUCCCUACGGGGGGCAGCAGUGAGGAAUAUUGGUCAAUGGUCGGGAGACUGAACCAGCCAAGCCGCGUGAGAGAGGAAGGUACAGAGUAUCGUAAACCUCUUUUGUCAGGGAACAAAGGCGGGGACGUGUCCCCGGAUGAGUGUACCUGAAGAAAAAGCAUCGGCUAACUCCGUGCCAGCAGCCGCGGUAAUACGGAGGAUGCGAGCGUUAUCCGGAUUUUUUGGGUUUAAAGGGUGCGCAGGCGGUCUGUUAAGUCAUCGGUCAAAGCCCGGUGCUCAACCCCGGCCCGCCGCUGUAA